rnacentral:misc_RNA from 1 species
AACCACUCGCGCCUGGCGUGGUAUUGGGGCACGCGGUCUCCGCGGCCCUCAAAAUUAGUGGCGGCGCCGGUGGGCUCUAAGCGUAGUACAUACUCCCGCUAUAGAGUUCCCCCGGUGGCUCGCCAGAGCCCCCAAUUUUUUACA